rnacentral:rRNA from 1 species
AUAUCCUACGGGGGGCAGCAGUGAGGAAUAUUGGUCAAUGGGCGGAAGCCUGAACCAGCCAAGUCGCGUGAGGGAAUAAGGCCCUACGGGUCGUAAACCUCUUUUGCCGGGGAGCAAGGGCCGGGACGCGUCCCGGCCCGGAGAGUACCCGGAGAAAAAGCAUCGGCUAACUCCGUGCCAGCAGCCGCGGUAAUACGGAGGAUGCGAGCGUUAUCCGGAAUUAUUGGGCGUAAAGAGCGCGCAGGUGGUUAAUUAAGUCUGAUGUGAAAGCCCGCGGCUUAACCG